UAGUCUCUCUGGGCCUGUUGUCUUCAUGUCAGAUGCUAAAACUUGAAGUCUGCAUAGCAAACAAUUGGGAAGGGAAGAUGGAUGUAAAGUGGGGGAGAGCAAGGACAAGCUAGAAUCCACGAAGAGGAGCCAGGAUCAUGAGAAUGAACUGGGACCUGUGUCAGUUUUCACUGCCUUCAUCUUUAUAAAAUGGUGUCCUUUUUUGCAGAGCUAAACAAAAUGUCUCAGGAAGAUGUUGAAGGAGGAUCCCAGGAGAAGGUUGAGCAGCAGCAGGCCUGGGUGCUGCCCUGUGGCCAACAAGGUGGACCCAGUGUAACUGCCAAAGUUCUUAUAAGAGAAAGAGGGACAGGAAUGAGACAAUCAGAGAGUAGGAUGUGGAUGUGACAAUGGAAGUGGAGGCUGGAGUGAUACAAGGAAGGAGCCAUGAACCAAAGAAUGCAGGUGGCCUUAAGAAGUGGAAAAGUGGUUUCUUGCAGACUCUAAGUCACAGAAGGAGUUACUCUAACAAUGAAAAAUUUCAGUUUUGUGGCAAGCUAAUCCUUGGAAAUUUGGAGUCUUUCAAAUUACUUCAGGUAAAUGCCAGUCUACAUGCAGGGCAUUUUCUGACUGCUUAUUGCUUAUGCCCAAGUGUCCAUUAAUGUUUCCUGUUGUUGUGUCUGGAAAAUCUUAAAAUUUUCAAAGGUUUUUGCUAUUCAUGUACAAACUUGCAUUUGGGAUGUUAUUUAGGACCCACAGCUCACUGAAGUAACUAAGUUCUCUUAUCUUGUCUAGUUUGUUUUGCCCUUACGUUCUGUUAGAUGUGACAGUAAGACAUUUUCUGCUGCUCCAUCCUCUGGGUCACUCAAAUCAUUGUUGCUGGUCUCCUUGGUACUGGUAGCCUGGAUGAGUAAAGUUUGUGUUAGUGGCUCUGGAAAGACUGUGAGUCCAUGCAAGAAUGGGAGAGGUGCUUAAGGAAGAUGCACUCUUCCAUCUUUGUAGCCAAGGAAUGUCAACUGAAAUAGCACACCAAAGAGAUACUGUUUUUUAUACUUUGAUUUUCUUUUUUUA